UACAGGUUUGUGGAGACAGAUGGCCAGGGCUUUGAUAAAGUGAGGAGGACUGAAAUCGGGAAGAAAUACUUCAAACUAACCCAUUUUGAGGAGGUUUUCACGACACAUCACUGGAUGGUUCGGAUUUACAAAUUGAAACCUGAGAAGAACAGGAUCCGGGGAAAGCUGAAGAAGUCCAAAUCGGGUUCCAAAGCAAGCACCCUGACGAAGGUGGACAGAAGCCCCAGAAAAAA
rnacentral:misc_RNA from 1 species